rnacentral:rRNA from 1 species
CCUACGGGAGGCAGCAGUAAGGAAUAUUGGUCAAUGGACGCAAGUCUGAACCAGCCAUGCCGCGUGCAGGAUGACGGCCCUCUGGGUUGUAAACUGCUUUUAUACGGGAAGAAACCUCUGGUUGCGAUCAGAGCUGACGGUACCGUAAGAAUAAGGACCGGCUAACUUCGUGCCAGCAGCCGCGGUAAUACGAAGGGUCCAAGCGUUAUCCGGAUUUAUUGGGUUUAAAGGGUGCGUAGGCGGCUUAUUAAGUCAGUGGUGAAAGACUUCAGCUUAACUGAAGAACUGCCAUUGAUACUGAUGAGCUUGAAUAUACUUGAGGUGGGCGGAAUGUGUCAUGUAGCGGUGAAAUGCUUAGAUAUGACACAGAACACCGAUUGCGAAGGCAGCUCGCUAAAGUAUGAUUGACGCUGAUGCACGAAAGCGUGGGGAGCAAACAGGAUUAGAUACCCUGGUAGUCCACGCCCUAAACGUUGAUAACUCGAUGUGUGCGAUAUACAGUACGCGUCCAAGCGAAAGCAUUAAGUUAUCCACCUGGGAAGUACGGUCGCAAGAUUGAAACUCAAAGGAAUUGACGGCUGAGAGNGCGAGGCGACACAGGGGAGGAGG